rnacentral:rRNA from 1 species
CCUACGGGCGGCAGCAGUGGGGAAUAUUGGACAAUGGGGGGAACCCUGAUCCAGCCAUGCCGCGUGUGUGAAGAAGGCCCUCGGGUUGUAAAGCACUUUCAGUGAGGAAGAACGCCUGGUGGUUAAUACCCAUCAGGAAAGACAUCACUCACAGAAGAAGCACCGGCUAACUCCGUGCCAGCAGCCGCGGUAAUACGGAGGGUGCGAGCGUUAAUUGGAAUUACUGGGCGUAAAGCGCGCGUAGGUGGCUUGAUAAGCCGGUUGUGAAAGCCCCGGGCUCAACCUGGGAACGGCAUCCGGAACUGUCAAGCUAGAGUGCAGGAGAGGAAGGUAGAAUUCCCGGUGUAGCGGUGAAAUGCGUAGAGAUCGGGAGGAAUACCAGUGGCGAAGGCGGCCUUCUGGACUGACACUGACACUGAGGUGCGAAAGCGUGGGUAGCAAACAGGAUUAGAUACCCUGGUAGUC